rnacentral:rRNA from 1 species
GAUGAACGCUGGCGGCGUGCCUAAUACAUGCAAGUCGAGCGAACAGAUGAGGAGCUUGCUCCUCUGACGUUAGCGGCGGACGGGUGAGUAACACGUGGAUAACCUACCUAUAAGACUGGGAUAACUACGGGAAACCGGAGCUAAUACCGGAUAAUAUAUUGAACCGCAUGGUUCAAUAGUGAAAGAUGGUUUUGCUGUCACUUAUAGAUGGAUCCGCGCCGCAUUAGCUAGUUGGUAAGGUAACGGCUUACCAAGGCAACGAUGCGUAGCCGACCUGAGAGGGUGAUCGGCCACACUGGAACUGAGACACGGUCCAGACUCCUACGGGAGGCAGCAGUAGGGAAUCUUCCGCAAUGGGCGAAAGCCUGACGGAGCAACGCCGCGUGAGUGAUGAAGGUCUUCGGAUCGUAAAACUCUGUUAUUAGGGAAGAACAAAUGUGUAAGUAACUAUGCACGUCUUGACGGUACCUAAUCAGAAAGCCACGGCUAACUACGUG